AUUGAACGCUGGCGGCAGGCCUAACACAUGCAAGUCGAACGAGUGGCGGACGGGUGAGUAAUGUCUGGGAAACUGCCUGAUGGAGGGGGAUAACUACUGGAAACGGUAGCUAAUACCGCAUACCCUCAGAUGUGCCCAGAUGGGAUUAGCUAGUUGGUGGGGUACCGGCUCACCAAGGCGACGAUCCCUAGCUGGUCUGAGAGGCUGCCCAGCCACCCUGGACCUUGGACACUUUCCAGACUCCUACGGGAGGCAGCAGUGGUGAAUAUUGCACAAUGGGCGCAAGCCUGAUGCAGCCAUGCAGCGUGUAUGAAGAAGGCCUUCGGGUUGUAAAGUACUUUCAGCGGGGAGGCGUUACCCGCAGAAGAAGCACCGGCUAACUCCGUGCCAGCAGCCGCGGUAAUAC
rnacentral:rRNA from 1 species